GACGAACGCUGGCGGCGUGCCUAAUACAUGCAAGUCGAACGCAUUUUCUUUCACCGUAGCUUGCUACACCGAAAGAAAAUGAGUGGCGAACGGGUGAGUAACACGUGGGUAACCUGCCCAUCAGCGGGGGAUAACACUUGGAAACAGGUGCUAAUACCGCAUAAUUCCAUUUACCACAUGGUAGAUAGAUGAAAGGCGCUUUUGCGUCACUGAUGGAUGGACCCGCGGUGCAUUAGCUAGUUGGUGGGGUAACGGCCUACCAAGGCUGCGAUGCAUAGCCGACCUGAGAGGGUGAUCGGCCACACUGGGACUGAGACACGGCCCAGACUCCUACGAGAGGCAGCAGUAGGGAAUCUUCGGCAAUGGACGCAAGUCUGACCGAGCAACGCCGCGUGAGUGAAGAAGGUUUUCGGAUCGUAAAACUCUGUUGUUAGAAAAGAACAAGGAUGAGAGUGGAAAGUUCAUCCCUUGACGGUAUCUAACCAGAAAGCCACGGCUAACUACGUG
rnacentral:rRNA from 1 species